GACUUUGUACACACCAUGAAAUAUAGACUAAGUUUUUGUCAGUCAAAAGUAUUUCAAGUAGCUUUUAGACAAAACAUAUCCAUGAGUGUGAAAACGCUGUCUUGAGGAAUAGAUUACGUUACCCAUUUACCAGCAAGUCCACAAAAAAUAAAAUAAAAAAUAAAAUAAAAAAUAAAAAUAAAUAAAUAGUACUUACUUACAUAGUCAACGUCAUUUAAUGUUCUAAAACAGUUUCUUCAAAUCUGCCCAAUAUUUAAUGUAUCAUUUGAGAUUUUUAAAACUGCAGCCACAUCUUUAUGUAAACAUUAAGGUAUGCCUAUGUUUCUUUGACAACCUUCUUUACAAGAAAUUUCUUGACUUUUGUGCACAGAAUAGUAUUGCAACCUGCUAUUUAGCCUUUGGUGCCUUAGAGUUAUUCUAACUAUUUAACAAUAUGUACAUAAUGUAAAUACUGCCAAGAGAUCACUAAGGCCAAAUAUUUUCUCUAUUCACUUUUUAUUGCACUUGCUUUCUAUUGCUCCCUCAGCCUCUUUUAUCCAGCUUUGUAAUAGUUCUACCAUUGUAGCCGAUGUACAUGUUUACUUUCAAUAAAUCUGGAUUUGUUC
rnacentral:lncRNA from 1 species